GGGAUAGAAGGAUAGAGUUGAAGUUGGACACAUAGUUACAUAAAAUGUGUUCGGGUAUUAUUACCACCACCACCAUGAUUCAGGUUAAAUACGGAAUAAAUCGGGGAUUAAUAAUUCGUUAAAGAUCUUAUAAUUGGCUUUCUAGGAUCUACAACUCAAGGGUUAAGAUUUUCUCGGCCUUCACCAACCCAGUGAAUUUGGAACAUGAAGAAAUUAUGGCAAUUGGUAUGUUCAAUGCAAAUAUAUCAUUCAAGUACAUUCUACUGAAAAAAAAUGUUCAUUAUACUGAAGAAAGUAAGUGUGUGUGAUAUAGGUAAAGGAUCUAACCUUGAUUCGACUGAUCAGGAACAAAGCAAGAUGCCCAUUUGUAAUUUUGUGGUCCCCAACAAAAGAUUCCAAAUCAAACUGAAUAUCAGGCAUAGAGGUAAAG
rnacentral:lncRNA from 1 species